AAGUCGUAACAAGGUUUCCGUAGGUGAACCUGCGGAAGGAUCAUUAUCGUACUACAGAGGCGCGAGGGCUGUCGCUGGACCUUUUUCAAAGGUCGUGCACGCCCGAGCGCUCUCGCCUACAAUCCACCUCACCACUUGUGCAUCACCGCGCGGGGCCUCCCUCUUGGCUCGCUUCGAGAGAGGCUCGCGUUCUUCACAUCACACACACACCUUUUUAGUUUUGAAUGUCAUUCAUUUGCGAUAACGCGCAAUCAAUACAACUUUCAACAACGGAUCUCUUGGCUCUCGCAUCGAUGAAGAACGCAGCGAAAUGCGAUACGUAAUGUGAAUUGCAGAAUUCAGUGAAUCAUCGAAUCUUUGAACGCACCUUGCGCCCCUUGGCAUUCCGAGGGGCACACCCGUUUGAGUGUCGUGAAAUUCUCAAACCUUCUUGGUUUCUUGACCAAGAUGGCUUUGGACUUUGGAGGCGUUGUGCUGGCUUUGCAAAAAGUCGGCUCCUCUUAAAUGCAUUAGUGGGGUCCCCUUUGCCAAUCCCCAGGCGUGAUAAGAUGUUUCUACGUCUUGGGAUUUGCUCUGUUCACUGGGAACCUGCUUCCAACCGUCUCGUGAGAGACAUCGUUCGAGCUUGCUCGGCGCACGAAUCUUGACCUCAAAUCGGGUGAGACUACCCGCUGAACUUAAGCAUAUCAAUAAGCGGAGGAAAAGAAACUAACAAGGAUUCCCCUAGUAACUGCGAGUGAAGCGGGAAAAGCUCAAAUUUAAAAUCUGGCGGCCUCUGGUCGUCCGAGUUGUAAUUUAGAGAA
rnacentral:misc_RNA from 1 species